GACAGAGGUCCCGAGCGUUAGGCGGAAUCACUGGGCUUAAAGCGUGUGUAGGCGGACUUCUAAGUACCUUGUGAAAUCCCACGGCUCAACCGUGGAACUGCUUGGUAUACUGGUUGUCUUGGGCCAUCUAGGGGCGAGCGGAACAAACGGUGGAGCGGUGAAAUGCGUAGAUAUCGUCUGGAACGCCAAAGGUGAAAACAGGUCGCUGGGGCUGAGCUGACGCUGAGACACGAAAGCCAGGGGAGCGAACGGG
rnacentral:rRNA from 1 species